UACGUAGGGUGCAAGCGUUAUUCGGAAUCACUGGGCGUAAAGGGCGCGCAGGCGGUUUUGUACGUCUAAAGUGAAAUCCUUGGGCUUAACCCAAGGGCUGCUUUAGAUACUCCAAAACUCGAGUUCGGGAAAAGCAAGCGGAAUUCCUGGUGAAGGGGUGAAAUCCGUAGAUAUCAGGAAGAACACCAGUGGCGAAAGCGGCUUGCUAGAACGCAACUGAAGCUUAGGCGCGAAAGCGUGGGGAGCAAACAGG
rnacentral:rRNA from 1 species